rnacentral:rRNA from 1 species
CCCUUAGACGUUCUGGGCCGCACGCGCGCUACACUGACCAGUGCAACAAGCAUCCGUCCUUGGCCGACAGGCUCGGGCAAUCUUUGAACGCUGGUCGUGAUGGGGAUAGACUUUUGCAAUUUUUGGUCUUCAACGAGGAAUUCCUAGUAAACGCACGUCAUCAACUUGCAUUGAUUACGUCCCUGCCCUUUGUACACACCGCCCGUCGCACCUACCGAUUGAAUGGUCCGGUGAAGCCUCCGGAUUGGCGCGCACCUCGGUGCCGCCGAGAAGUUGGCUAAACCUUACCAUUUAGAGGAAGGUGAAGUCGUAACA